CGGGGAUUCUACUCUUGGUGAAG
rnacentral:miRNA from 1 species